rnacentral:pre_miRNA from 1 species
AGCCUUCUGUAUCCGUGCUGAGAUUUCUUCACACACCAGACAACAAAGACUGAUGGGACUCUCAAGAUAAGUAAAGUA